rnacentral:rRNA from 1 species
UACAGAGGUCUCAAGCGUUGUUCGGAUUCAUUGGGCGUAAAGGGUGCGUAGGCGGCGCGGUAAGUCGGGUGUGAAAUCUCGGAGCUUAACUCCGAAACUGCAUUCGAUACUGCGGUGCUUGAGGACUGGAGAGGAGACUGGAAUUCAUGGUGUAGCAGUGAAAUGCGUAGAGAUCAUGAGGAAGACCAGUGGCGAAGGCGAGUCUCUGGACAGUUACCGACGCUGAGGCACGAAGGUCAGGGGAGCAAACGGG